rnacentral:rRNA from 1 species
UAAUAAGCGGAGGAAAAGAAACUAACUAGGAUUCCCCCAGUAGCUGCGAGCGAAGAGGGAAGAGCCCAGCACUGAAUCCCGUGACCAUUAUCGGACACUGGGAAAUGUAGUGUUAGGGAGGACCCAUUUAUCCUGAGGUUGUACGGUGCGUCCAAGUCCUUCUUGAAGGGGGCCACAGCCCAUAGAGGGUGCCAGGCCCGUAGGACCACUGUCAGCAUUUGGGAGGGUCUCUCCUCAGAGUCGGGUUGCUUGAGAGUGCAGCCCUAAGUGGGUGGUAAACUCCAUCUAAGGCUAAAUAUGACCACGAGACCGAUAGCGAACAAGUACCGUGAGGGAAAGUUGAAAAGCACUUUGAAGAGAGAGUUCAAUAGUACGUGAAACCGUUCAGGGGUAAACCUGAGAAACCCGAAAGAUCGAAAGGGGAAAUUCAUUCGUAUAUCAGUGUCUGGCAAAAUUUGUAUUUCACGUAUGUGACAGUGGAUUUAUUCAUUGUCCAACUGAUUUAUAUUUUGAACCAGCAUUGAAUGCGUGCACUUUUCCCCUAGUAGAACGUCGCGAUCUGUUGGUGAUCGAUUUACGGCCGUCAGAGGUAGACUAUGCGUUGCUGGCCAACUUGUUUGGUUAGUUCCAACUGUAUAGACCUGAUGUGACCCAAUCGUAUCUUGCCGACAGUAUCAAUAAACAAAGCAUAGAGCCGCAUUUUAUGUGCGUCCGGCCCAUAGCAAGCAUGUCUGGUGUUAUUGGUGUGUCAUACCUGCUUUGCGGGUAGGUCCCCGGUCCCAGAUGUCUGUUGGUUGUGAGGUUCUCGGACAGACUCUAUUCAUAAAACGCCAAUCAGCGACGCUAUAGCUUUGGGUACUUUCAGGGCCCGUCUUGAAACACGGACCAAGGAGUCUAGCAUGUACGCGAGUCAAUGGGACAUAAUUAAACCCAAAGGCGCAAUGAAAGUAAAGGUUUGCCUUGUGUAAACUUAGGGAAGAUGGGUGGUGUAAGUAGUAGACCGCCCCGCACUCCCGGGCCGUCUCUAUGUCUUAUUGCAAGGCGAGGCGGACCUAGAGCGUACAUGCUGGGACCCGAAAGAUGGUGAACUAUGCCUGGUCAGGACGAAGUCAGGGGAAACCCUGAUGGAGGUCCGUAGCGAUUCUGACGUGCAAAUCGAUCGUCGGAACUGGGUAUAGGGGCGAAAGACUAAUCGAACCAUCUAGUAGCUGGUUCCCUCCGAAGUUUCCCUCAGGAUAGCUGGCGCUCGUUCAAACGAGUUUCAUUCGGUAAAGCGAAUGAUUAGAGGCAUUGGGGUCGAAACGACCUCAACCUAUUCUCAAACUUUAAAUGAGUGAGACCUUCGGCUUGCUUAAAUGCAUGAAGCCGUAAGAUCAGAAUCAGAGUGCCAAGUGGGCCAUUUUUGGUAAGCAGAACUGGCGCUGUGGGAUGAACCAAACGCUGAGUUAAAGCGCCUAAAUUGACGCUUAUGGGAUACCAUGAAAGGCGUUGGUAACUUAAGACAGCAGGACGGUGGCCAUGGAAGUCGGAAUCCGCUAAGGAGUGUGUAACAACUCACCUGCCGAAGUUACUAGCCCUGAAAAUGGAUGGCGCUGAAGCGUCGUGCUUAUACUCAGCCGUUAGUGGCAUGUGCGUUUACAACCUCUUUCGGGGGGUGUAUUCAUGAAGCCCUAACGAGUAGGAGGGUCGCAAUGGUGUGCGCAGAAGGGCUGGCCGUGAGGCCGUCUGGAGCCGCCAUUGGUGCAGAUCUUGGUGGUAGUAGCAAAUACUCCAGCGAGGCCCUGGAGGACUGACGUGGAGAAGGGUUUCGUGUGAACAGCUGUUGCACACGAGUCAGUCGAUCCUAAGCCCUAGGCGAAAGCCAACGUUGAUGUAGUGUAUUCUACACAUACAAAUACAAACACACUCAUUGGGCGAAAGGGAAUCCGGUCCCUAUUCCGGAACCUGGCAGCGGAACCGUACACAAGUCGGGCCCUCAUUGAGAGUUCGUCGGGGUAACCCAAAAUGACCCGAAGACGCCGUCGGGAGAUCGGGGAAGAGUUUUCUUUUCUGUAUGAGCGUUCGAGUUCCAUGGAAUCCUCUAGCAGGGAGAUAUGGUUUGGAACGCGAAGAGCACCGCACUUGCAGCGGUGUCCCGAUCUUCCCCUCGGACCUUGAAAAUUCGGGAGAGGGCCACGUCGAGGUGUCGCGCCAGAUCGUACCCAUAUCC